rnacentral:rRNA from 1 species
CAGUAGCCGCGGGAAUACAGAGGGUGCAAGCGUUAAUCGGAAUUACUGGGCGUAAGCGCGCGUAGGUGGUUUGUUAAGUUGGAUGUGAAAUCCCCGGGCUCAACAUGGGAACUGCAUCCAAAACUGGCAAGCUAGAGUAUGGUAGAGGGUGGUGGAAUUUCCUGUGUAGCGGUGAAAUGCGUAGAUAUAGGAAGGAACACCAGGGGCGAAGGCGACCACCUGGACUGAUACUGACACUGAGGUGCGAAAGCGUGGGGAGCAAACAGGAUUAGAGACCCCGGUAGUCCCUGUCUCUUAUACA